UUAACUCAGUUUGGGAAAUAGGGCUGAGGUAGGAAUCUGCAUUUUAACUGGCCCACGUCAUUUUAACUGGCCCUCUGUCUUCAUGUUCCAAAUCAAACACUCAGGUUCAAUGUUGGAGCACAAAGUGGAGGAGGGCUGGGUUUGUGAGACACAGCUGGAGGGAGGAGAGGAAGAUGUGACGGGGACAGAAAGGGACUGUCCUUGGGCUCUUCCUUCCUGCUCCAGGCCCAAACUUUCUCCUGGCUACCUGGCUGCAAGAAAAACACACCUGAGCACAACCCUCCAGAUGAUGUGCUCCUUCCGUCCUCCAGUCUGGGAAGCACUCAUCACUGUCCUCUGCUCCCCCAUCAACCAGAAUCUUACAGGCACCCACAGGAGCCUGCAGAGUCAUGCUGAGAACCCAAAGCACCAGGGAGGACCUGGAGACUGAAGGGCUGAGCCAGAUCAACAUCUUUGAGGCCCUGAGCUCCCUGAGUCAUUGGUGGGGAGCAUGCAGUGGGGGGAACAGUCAGUAUAAGAAAGACCCCCUCCUUACCCCAUGAGCAGGACUGAUAGACCACACAGGUCACGGUGUCUGGAACCCUGGCUGUGAACUUAACCCAGGUGUCCACAACCCUCAACCCCAGGAAACCCUUUCCAGAAUACUGCAGAGGCAGAGAGCAAAGCUGCCUCCAUUCUCAGGCAGGUGAUGUGGGGGAGACACCAUCUUCUGUGCAGCCAGGCCCUGACAGGACCGGAAGAUCUGAGGGUCCCAGAGAUGGGACAUGCUUCCCUGGGGACCUGGGGGAGAAGCCUUUUCAAACUGCACACGCCCAAGACCACUUCCCCCGAAAGUCUCCUUAGAUGACCUUGCAGGUCGCCUGGAGGAGAAUGGACAGUACGUUCCAGUCAAAAGGAUCAGAAGGUGCAAAGGUACAGAGCUUGAAACAGCCUGGGCAUGGGCAGGAAGCCAAGGUCAACGUAUUUGGUGUGAGGUGGAGACAGGAGUCAAUGGGACAGCAGAAGAGAUCAGGUCAGGAAGGCUUUUGCGGUGUGUGGGUUUUAAGCAAAGUAGGCACUGCAGAAAGACAGAAAUCUGGGAAUAUGUGAAACCAGGGAAAUCAACCCCAGAAAUGUUAGGUUCUCCAGAUACCAACUGCUUCUGCAACCAGCUCUAUUUUGAUAUGGCAUGCGGGUCAUUUUGUUAUCAACCUUGGUCCUCGGAGUCUUGCAUCAAUAGAAUUGAUAAGAGGUCGGUGAAGUAAAUCAAGUGAGAGUUAAUUGGUACUCAAGCUGCUGCAGGAAGGACCAAGAACAAAACACAAGUUCCCUUGCUUGCCCUCCGUGGACUGGUUUCUUCAGUGGAGUAAGAGCGGGGGCAGAUCCGCUGAGCGGGCCCCAGGGCUGGCUUAGGUGGUCUGCCCAACUGCUAGUGGUGCUGUGGGCAGGGAUCGUGCCCAAUACACUGCUUUUGCUUUUGGCAACUCAGAAGUGGCAGUACACUUGUGCUCUUUUUGUAUCUACGGUUCAUGAUUGCCUCAACUGCUGGUCCAUGCCAGUAUUUUUAAUGCCUUAGUUUCCCUGUAUUCUGUUGCUUGAGGGGACAUUUGUCCAUGUGCCAGUGCAAGCACCCCACUCAAGGGUCUUCAGCCCCAGACUCUGAAAUUGAAACAGUUCAUGCGAACUUUGUAAUAAGAGGAGCAGAAUCUAAGGUCACACCCAGCCCUGGACACAAGGCCAGCCUUUCCAGCCACGAACUUCAUUCUGGAUCCUUUUGUAAGUGAUGGCCUCUUCUCCUUGGUAAGAACACAUCAUCAAGAGGAUGGAUAAUGCUUUCCCUGUGCUUGGUAAAAGUUAUCCCAACCAGGGUGACCAAGCAGAGGUCAAGAAAAGCCACUCUGCUGGGGUAUUCCAGGUCUCCUAGGGAAGGCUUCACAAUCAUCGUGUCAACCAUCCUAAAGCCAAAAAGGAGUCUCAUUUGGAGAAUUACUCAGGAGACAGGACCACACGUCCUGUUCCCCCCACUGGGUCUAUGUGUGCCUUUGGACAAACUUGGCCCCAGCCUCUGUGACUAUGCUCAAAUGCGAGUUGUAGGAUCCUAGUUCCCCAACCAUGCAUGGACCCCGUGAUGGCUACAGGGGAUGGGAGGAGCCCUAACCACUGGAACGCCAAGGAAUGUCCUCCAACGAGUGACUUGAGUGAGCAAGGGGCUUUCCUCAUCAGAAGGACCUACAAGAAGAACAGCAAGGGUAACCGUGGAUUGCAAGCACCUGCCUGCUCUGCCCCUGCGGCCCUCCAGGCUCUGCUCUCAGCCCACACACCUGUCAGUGAACUUGGGGACUUGGACGGUGUUACCUUGUCACUUCCUGGCCUUUGAACAUGUUGUUCUCUC